AUAUGUGGGGGUGAUCUGCUGGCUAGGCAGCGUCCCCUUCCUCCUUCACUACUCCAUGUGUAUCCCUCCCGAAGCUUUGUGCUCAGUUGAAGAGGACGACCAUCCCUGCUAGAGGAGGACCACUCUUUGGUCAAGGGCCUAUGAGUAGCUGUGCUCCCCUGCUAGCACUUCCCAACAAGCUCCCAGGGUCCACAGGGCCCUGUUCAUCAUGUACUCUACUAUAACAGAAAGAACUAUUUCU
ensembl:misc_RNA 7SK 7SK RNA